UACGUAGGGUGCGAGCGUUGUCCGGAAUUACUGGGCGUAAAGAGCUCGUAGGUGGUUUGUCGCGUUGUUCGUGAAAUCUCACGGCUUAACUGUGAGCGUGCGGGCGAUACGGGCAGACUUGAGUACUGCAGGGGAGACUGGAAUUCCUGGUGUAGCGGUGGAAUGCGCAGAUAUCAGGAGGAACACCGGUGGCGAAGGCAGCUCUCUGGGACGGUACUGACGCUGAGACGCGAAAGCGUGGGGAGCGAACAGG
rnacentral:rRNA from 1 species